ACUGCGGAGGGAUCAUUACCGAGUUUACAACUCCCAAACCCCUGUGAACAUACCAAUUGUUGCCUCGGCGGAUCAGCCCGCUCCCGGUAAAACGGGACGGCCCGCCAGAGGACCCCUAAACUCUGUUUCUAUAUGUAACUUCUGAGUAAAACCAUAAAUAAAUCAAAACUUUCAACAACGGAUCUCUUGGUUCUGGCAUCGAUGAAGAACGCAGCAAAAUGCGAUAAGUAAUGUGAAUUGCAGAAUUCAGUGAAUCAUCGAAUCUUUGAACGCACAUUGCGCCCGCCAGUAUUCUGGCGGGCAUGCCUGUUCGAGCGUCAUUUCAACCCUCAAGCCCAGCUUGGUGUUGGGACUCGCGAGUCAAAUCGCGUUCCCCAAAUUGAUUGGCGGUCACGUCGAGCUUCCAUAGCGUAGUAGUAAAACCCUCGUUACUGGUAAUCGUCGCGGCCACGCCGUUAAACCCCAACUUCUGAAUGUGACCU
rnacentral:rRNA from 1 species